UCAGUCCUCCAGGUGACACCUGGGCUCUUUUCUGCCUGAACAGCAUUUCCCACCAAAGGCCACAGCAGAGUCGGUCAGUGUCCUCUUAAGCACCUCCUGAAGCUGCAGUGUCAUUUGCUGUUUGCCCUAAAAAGCCACGCCCAGAUUUCUUCUACCGCUGCUUCCCUGAUGGGCUAGCCCAUUCUGACUUGAUGUGUACAGGGGAUAAGGACGUGGUGAAUGAGGGCCGAAAGAGCUUCCCCAGUGGACAUUCUUCCUGUAUGAAUAUCAUAUGGACUCUACCCUAUGCUUGUUUUCACAUCAUUGAAUUUAACCUAGAAAGCUAGCAGGGAUGGGAAAAUCUGACUACUCUUGUUUCUAGAAUUUGGAAAAUCCCUUCUUUAGUAACUCCACAGUUUAACAAGUCUGAGCCUUGACUAUUUGGGUAAAUAUUACAGAACAGAAAGGUGGUUUACCUUCAUGAGAUUUGCACAUUUAAUUGUUAUAUUAUUUGCCUAGAUCCUGCAAUCUUGUACUAGCAAUAAAAAUACCUUUAACGAAGA
rnacentral:sRNA from 1 species